rnacentral:tRNA from 1 species
GCUCUCAUAGUGUAAUGGAUAGCACACGAGUCUUCGGAACUCGGCGUAUGGGUUCGAAUCCUAUUGAGAGCACCA